UCAGCGGGUUACGAUUGACGGAGCGAAGCGACGUCAAAGCGUAUACAAAGUCGAGUCGGUUUAAGGAUACGUUCGUUGGGUAGGGGAGCGUUCUGUAAGCCCGUGAAGGUGGCCUGUGAGGGUUGCUAGAGGUAUCAGAAGUGCGAAUGCUGACAUAAGUAACGAUAAAGCGGGUGAAAAGCCCGCUCGCCGGAAGACCAAGGGUUCCUGUCCAACGUUAAUCGGGGCAGGGUGAGUCGACCCCUAAGGCGAGGC
rnacentral:rRNA from 1 species